CUGUAAACCCAGAUUUUAGUUUUAAUUAAGCUUUUUAGUAGUCAUUAGUUAAUCUUUUGUGUUUAGUAAAAAGUGGGUCUCAUUACAAAAUACAAUUCGUUGAUUGCAAUUAUUUAAGUGAAAUGUUUAAUCCAACGAUCAUGUUUAGUAAACAUUACACGCUAUGUUAUGUUUAUGCGAGGGGAGGAGUUUAUUCGAAAUUUGAACAUCGCUGUUAGUGUCAACUGUCCUGUGGCUGCUGCGCGCUGAAACCAACUGAGACAGAGGAUUUUUCUGGAACGGAGGGCUUUUGGAGUGCGACUUCAUGCCAAGUGACAGACUAAUGAGCCAGCUGACAUCUGCACACUGGUGCUCAGAGGACUUCCUCUCCUGCUUGGUGACAAGCCUACAGACUUCUACAAAACAUGCAUUGGUGAUGAUGGUGACUCGCUCCACCAAGUUGACAUUGGGAUCCUCAUUGUUGAACACGAAGGUACCGUGCUGUCGCCUCCCCUCAAUUACAGUCCAUCAUCCUUUAAGAUUGUCAUUGAGGGAGAACCUGUUGUGGACAGUCUUCAGGACAUAUCUCCAGCUGAUGAUUGUUUAUAUUAUUCUUUUAUGUUUAAUCAUUUGUAUUCUGAUAUUCUAUGAAAGACCAGAGAAAUUCUUCUGUUUUCAUAUAAACAGUUUGUUUGAAAUAAUGCAAAAAAGCAUCAAGAAAUGAUGUUCCCAGUAUUGUAUUGAAGAACUUACCUGUCUUGACCAUUAAACCAACAACCUGGCCUCAACCUUUAAACUUUACUAAGACAGGAAAAAAAAGUUUUGAUUUUUUUUUGUCCACUGUAAACUUGUGCCACUGUAUUCACUGUUCCUUUGAGUCCAGACAGUUAAACCGUUUUAAUGCCUCUUUUUAACCUGUUUUUACAAAUGUGACAAGUUAAUGUUGCAGCCAAUUAUUUAGAAAAUAAAACAUGUUGAAUCCAAUGAAUUGAUGUUCUGGAUUAUUAUUUCUUUCUUAUUUUAUUGUAUAAAAUACAAUAAUAAAAAACUACUAAAAAUUACUUUAAAAAUCAUUUUAAGUAAUGAGAAAUAAUACAUAUUAGGUUUUUUGAUAUAUAUAUAUAUGUAUGUUGAAUUUAAAAUAGUAAUUUUUUACAGACUCAAAAAAGAAACAAAUUAGUCAUGUGAGCUAAGUAUUUUAAGUAAAGACUAUUGCAUUUAAUUAAUGUGUUGUGUUAA